rnacentral:rRNA from 1 species
AUGAGCCAUACAAUGAAGCUAUGGGAGAGAGUCAUUGAGCACCGCUUAAGAAGAAUGACAAGCGUGACCAAAAAUCAGUUUGGUUUCAUGCCUGGGAGGUCAACCAUGGAAGCCAUUUUCUUGGUACGACAACUUAUGGAGAGAUAUAGGGAGCAUAAGAAGGACUUGCAUAUGGUGUUCAUUGACUUGGAGAAGGCCUAUGAUAAGAUACCGUGGAAUGUCAUGUGGUGGGCCUUGGAUAAACACAAAGUCCUAGCAAAGUACAUUACCCUCAUCAAGGACAUGUACAAUAAUGUUGUGACAAGUGUUCGAACAAGUGAUGUCGACACCGAUGACUUCCCGAUUAAGAUAGGACUGCAUCAGGGGUCAGCUUUGAGCCCUUAUCUUUUUUCAUUGGUGAUGGAUGAGGUCACAAGGGGUAUACAAGGAGAUAUCCCAUGGUGUAUGCUCUUUGCGGAUGAUGUGGUGCUAGUUGACGAUAGUCGGACGGGGGUAAAUAGGAAGUUAGAGUUAUGGAGACAAACCUUGGAAUCGGAAGGGUUUAGGCUUAGUAGAACUAAAACCGAGUACAUGAUGUGCGGUUUCAGUACUACUAGCUGUGAGGAGGAGGAGGUUAGCCUUGAUGGCCAG